GCGGCGGGGCGGGGGGAGGCUGCUUGGUCUCCCCCCCCCCCCCCAGUGUGGGGCAGCCGCCUUGCUUCAGGGGGCGCGACCUGGUCUUCCGACUUGUACUACAUGUUGCCUCGGGAGCAGAAUGAUGGGCUUUCUAGUCCUCCCUACUUGGGAAGAGCCUGAUUUGGCAAGACGCGGGAAACCCCCCCCCCCAGCCUGCUGAAGCCUUCGGAGCGUCUACGAUUAGAUGAAUAAUGAAAGUAUACGUGGAUCGGGAACUCAUCAAAUUUGCAGACAAGACCAAGCUGGAAGGAAUAACCAACAUUCCAGACGAUAGGUUUAAGACACAGAUCUUGAAGACCUGAACAGUAAGGUUGUACAUUUAGGGGUUCCCUGAUGUCCAAAGAUUAUUUCAAGAGUUCUUCCUGGUAAAAAUAUUACAGAUGUCUUAAAGGUGCUUCUUGGUCUUCAUUUAUGAAUUAAGGUAUAAAUCAGGGCAACAGGAAAAUAAAGGAAGAAAAGUCCAGCGUCUUUGGGUGGCGCCCAGCAUUAAUGUUAUGUAAACAGUGAGAUGGUUCAUACAAAGAAAUUCCAAGAAGAGCUUGAUCCAGCUACAGCCUAUACCAGAAACAAACCUGCAAACUUCUUCCUCUAUGUAUACCAAGGAAACAGAGAGUGCUUUUAUGGUGUAAUGGAAAAUACUGCAACAUUUGCCUCAGUUAAUGAUAACAUUUGCUAAGAAUCUAGGAAUACAAACAGUACAUUUCAGCCCACACAACCAGGAUUAUGCAGUCCACUUAUCCUGAUUAGCAAGGAUCCUAUGUUCCUAUUCUGUGGUCUAAUCUAUUUCAUCUGUCCCCACUGAGCUUCAUUUCCCAUUUUAAAACCAUCCAACCAGCUUAUCUUUCCACAUGGCUGAAAGAAUAUUAAAGAGGGGGCCAGAGGUACUUUGACUUUUGAACUGAGUCAAUGUAGGCAAAAAACAAUUUCUGAGAAAAUUACAAUUAAGCAUUUUCAGUGUUAUCUUGUUUUCACCCUGAAUUUCACUGGAUCUGAGAAUCUUCCUUUAAUCUUGUUUAUGUGGAAAUUUUCUAGCUUUUCCCCAUCAGAAGCGAUUUUUCUAAGAGAAGGCAAUUAGAAUCUACAUAGUUCAUGUAGCCUAGUCAGGAAUCUUUUAUGACACUUCCAAACUGGAAUGAAACUAGAUCUGUGCCUCCAAUAUCAAAUUCUCUUUGAAUUCAUAAUAAUACCAAAAUAGGAAACAAACAGGUGUUAACAUCAAGAAAGCUAUUUGACCUGUAAACAGUUUUUAGAACGCUUAACCUAUUCCAAAUAAUUAUUCUGAAUAUGAGAUGAAAAGAUUCAGCAAUACCUAUAAGGAGGAAUGCUUGGUGAAAAUGGUAGAACUUGGUGAGAUGGCCAAAUUGACUUCUUUGUUCAGAAAAAUCACAGUACCCACAUUUAUUGCUGAUUGGAAGCCCCUUGUGGACUUUUUAUGUAAAACAGAAAAAGAUUAUCUUAUGAUUUAUGAUUUUAACGAUUAGACAGAAUAGAUUAUAGAAAGAAGAGUGUCAUGAUGCAACUUUACAGAAAGAGGUAAAUUUAUAAUUGUAUAGUUGCUAAAAAGAAGAUUGAAAGCUACUUCUUUGUAUCUUUUUUCUUUUCUAUUUUUUUGUGUCUGUUUGCUUUCUUUCUUGCACUUUUAGCUUUCUUUUGAUUUCUUCCUUUUUUGUUUUCUUCCUUAUACUAGUUUGCAUUGGUUUUUGUCUUUAUUUUUAAACGUUUUAAUAAAAUUGUUUUAAAAAAUGAAUAUGUGGAAAUCCAUACACAUUCCCUUAGUUUCCAAGAGAGGAAGGUUAAAAAUAACAAAAUAUCCAAACCAGUGAUGAUACUCUGGUGUCUAUCUAGAUAUAAUAUAAUCAGUACUUGGUAUGGUUUAGUUACCACAUAAUAGACUAAAAAUUUUCAUUUCUAAAAGCUUUUAUUCCAGAAAUAGGAUUGAAUGUGUAUUUGUCAGCAUACCCAUUCUCUGGCCAGACAAAAUAAUGUUAAAGCCAAGUUUUUAAGAGGUACAUCAUGCCUCAUAUUAGAAGAAUUUUGCUGCAUCACUAAGCAUAUUGCUUUUGCCAUCUAGCUUGCAGAACUUUAGAUGUAAAGGUGGGUGAUUAUUACCCAUACAAUUUGCAGUGGUUUCUUAUGAUCAUAGAGAUAUAGUCAGAUUGUUAAAAUGCUUGUGAUUUACUAGUAUAGUAUUUUUUUAUGAUACGGGAAAUGUAAAAUACUGGGAUGAUUUAAAUGUAUGAAAUGUUUUGCAUAUUUAAAUAUAAUCAAUUUUGAGAAAAUUAUAAUUGACAAGAAAUGUUUUGAUUACUGAGGGAAAAUUAAGCUUAAAUAAGAAUUCUGAAAAUAGGACUAUAGCGAUUUACAUAAGGUGAUUUUUUUGCAAAUGCAAUUGUAAAAUAAACUGAUUUGAAAAGACGCUACAUAUUGAUGCUAUUGUUAUUCAUAUAAAUAUUAGAAAAAUCUUUAUAUUCAACUUUAUAUGUAUUGAAAAUACUAAGAACUAUAUUUGCUCAAUGUUGGUAAAAGGAGAAUAUUAUUGGAAGAAGAGAAGAUCAAGGAAAGGUAUUUCUAGUUAGUAUGUUGAUUAUGAAAUCAUAGAAAUUAACUGUUAUUGAUUGUUGUUAAGUAUAUAAACCCAGACAACACAUUGUUUACCAAGUACUAAAUAUUGUUAUUGUAAAAAAACCAAUAAAACAUAUUUAAAAAGGUUGUUAAAAUAAACACCCUCUACAACUUUAUUCAUUCAUGCACAGCAACAUGAAAUGGAAUUAAAUAAAUAAAGAUAAGACUUUUCCCUGAAUGCUGCAAAAAAAGGGGGAAAAGAGCAGACAUACAAUAUUUAACUACAUCUAUAAGAACAGACACUUCACUGCCGCUAUAAAAAUGUGCAGUUUUUCUACUUUGAAAUAUAAGCUAGUGACAAGAUAGGUGGUAUUUUAAGUCCAUAGUAUUGGUUUUACUCUUAUAAAGCCAUCAUCAAUUUUCUAUUUGACGACAAGGAAACAAAUCUGCGACCACAUCCAUCUAGUUUAAUUUCUUUAGUAAAUCAAGUGGCUUUUUUUAAAUGAACCAUGUAAGAAAACCUAGUAGUUAAAAGAAAAAGAAAAAAAGAAUUGAAGGUGCAGGGAAAAUUGUGGCAAGUGUGAAUAACUCUGCUUAUUCUAUUUACUUUUUGAACAGGAAUAAGGAAGUAAGUUCUUCAACACUGUCAUUGUUUAUUUACAAAGUCAUCUCAGGGGAAACAAAAUCACGCAGCAACUUGAACCAUUCAAUCCACAAAUACACUGCACGCUACUGAACACCAUUCAGAGUAAUCUCAACUGCAUUUUCCUUAAAAUAUCAUUAAAAAUAGUUUUUUUUCAAACUGAGCUCAAUCCCAAAGUAACUUCAUGGACACAGUCAUGCAGUUUCCUUUGUAAAACAAUGAAAAUGGCUUGCCAUGGUCCACUUCAUGAUGUUUCUUGCUUUUCUAGGUUGGCCCACAACUUUGUUAUACUCCCUGAUUAGUCCCCCAUCCAAGUAGGAACCCGUGGUGCCUCAGACAAGGUCAGCCAGGUGCUGCUACCUCGUGAGAGUCAAUGUCUUCAGGGAUAGAUAAGUUCCUUUAUAAUGAGAUGUAAUACACAGGACACAAGAAGUGUUGGUGAGAUUUAAUAUAGUACUAAAAACUAAAAAGCUCAUUUAACUCAGUUAAAUUUAUUUAACUCAGGCAGUAGAUGGUGCUGAUAUAUUUUUAGAUGCUAUUCUCAGUGGCAUCUACCCCAACCUUUUUUUCACAUUGGAAAAAAAAACUUUAAAAAUUAAAAAGAAAGGCUACAAAUCUAAGUUCUGGCCUCCAUCAUUAAUUUUAUUCCCAGAAAUGUUUUGUAUCCCAUUAGCUUUUUCAGAAAAUGAAAUAAUAGGCAACUGAAGCCUAGAACUUUGGUUGGAAACAUGGCCAUUUGCUCAGAAAAAAGGAUAAAAUUAAGCAGAGAAAAUAGAGAAUAUCAUACAGGAGAGAGGGACAGUGAUGAUGUCAGGUGGCAUUCUGAUAAGUCUGUGUUGGUUAUGUCCCCCAUGCAACUAAUUUUGUAAAUCAACAAAUCCUUCUCCGUAGCCAAGAUAUUACACAGGAGGUAAUUUGAAUAUUCAACAUGGUUAUUACUAUGUGAGCUAAUUAGGGCAAAAUCUGAUAACCCAGUUUGAAAAGCCAGUAUAUCUUUUAGCUAUAUUUGAGCCAACUAUUUGUUCAGUUCUGGUUACUCUAUUUAAAAUAUUAGGUAGUAGAGUCAAAAAAGUACAGCUUAUAGCUCAGACAUCAGAGGAUAUGAUAAAAGGUAGCUGAAAAUACCUAGCCCGCACUAGGUUGGGUAAAUUAGGCUGUAGGCUGACAUUUGCUGGGAUUAGAAAAAAAUAUUAUUCAGGAAGGAGAGCGUGAUAAGAGAUUUAAAGAAUUAUACGGUUUACAGAAAAUGCAUACAGAUAUGACCCUUUUUAUCUCAUAUGAUAAUAGAACUUCAGAUCAUCUAACAAAAUUGAUUAGCAAUAGAGCUGGGAUAAAAAAAAUGCAUAAGUAAUAAUCUAUGUGAUGCCAACUCUCAGCGUACAAAGCUAAUGCUAGCACUGAGAGGUUAAGCGAGCUCAUUAACUAAUACUAAUUUAUUAUACUUAUGUUCUAUCUUUGUUGCAGAGCAUGCAUAGUUUCUUCCUCACUUUUAUUCUUACAUUAAUCACUUUAGAAAGAUUAAUUCUGGAAAGCAAAAGUUUGGAAUAGUUAACGUUUACUCAUACUCAGCAAUUUUUUUUAUUUUCUCAUGCUGAUUCCAUAUUCUAUACAAGCUAAAUCUCUAACCUGUAUAGAUUAAGCACCACAACUAUACUAUCUUUGACAUAGUUAUUUACCUUUUCUAUAGACAUUUCCUGUACUUCUAGCUAUUUCUAAUACUGCUACUAUAUCCUUUUCUAAUAGACUUACAUGGUAAGAUAAGUUUUAUAGCAACUGAAGCAUUCACUUUGGAAGAGAAACAUGAUUUUAAAUACUCAGUGAGCCAUAAAGAUUUACUCAGUAGCUUUAGGCAAGUCAUUAUGUCUAAUCUACAAUAAUAAUGCCUGGCUGCUUGAAAAAAAGGGCAGGAUAGAAGUGCAUUGCCUCCUACCCCACUUCAGAUAAUCAGAAAAUACAUCACUGAUGAAAGUGCUUGUAUCUUAAAAUGUUUGCAGAUUAUAUAUUGCUCCCUCAUUUAUUUAUAUUGCAAUUGUUGUUUUUAUUAUUUUUGUAAUGUUAAUUGGCCAACCAAAUUACAACUAUUUUUUUUGUUAAUUUCAACAAAAGGCUCUUAUCACCAAAAUUAUUACAUAACCUAAAAUUUCAGAAAUAUAAACAAAGCAGUCAUAUGUAUAAAUUCAAAGUACAUAUAUCCAACGUUAAAUAUUUAUUAGUGAACAGAAAGAGUACUAGCCUACAUUUUUACUAGCAUACCUAAUCCAUCAAUCUACAGUACUCUCUUUACAGAAAAGGGCAACAUUUUUAUUACAUCAAGAGAGGGUAUUUUUGUGUGGUGUUUUACUCAUGGAAUGUUAUGAAAAAAAAACACUAUUAUUCUGUACCUGGUAUUAUGGCGGUAAUAAACAAUGACUUGAUACUAUUCUCAUAAUUGCAAGUACAAGGAUUAGCAAGAGCUCUGGAGAUUAUUUUUUUUAAUUGUUAACUGCUGCAAUGAGCCUCAAGAAUAGGAACAAAGUUAUAAGUAGUUUGGUUCAAAUAUGUUUGUUUAAAAUAUGGCUAUAUCAAAGUAGAAUAUCAGUACUCAAAUAUUUUAAGUAUUUUCUUGACCUAUAGGCUCAAAGAAUAAUCUUCACUUAAGGCACUCUGAACAAUCUGCACAGAUAAUUAUGGUAUUGAGAAAGAAUUAAAUCUAAUUCCAGACAGCCUCUAUGUGUCAAAUUUAGGUAGUUUUGCCUUUGGGAAGCACAGUGCUAAUAACUGACCAUAUCAAUGACUAUUUUUUUUUUGUCUCCAGUUUCUGUCAACAGUUGCUUACAAUAGGCAAAGUUAACAAUUUACCACAACAGCAUAAUUUAAAGCUAACACACAGCAGUGUUGACUGCUCUUGCUCUUGCUUUGAGAAGUAAUCUAGGAUAAUUCAUGUUUGAACAGGUAAGACCGAGUGCCAGGAGAUAAUGAAAGAACAUUCAUAAGACAUAUUUUAGAUGAUUGAAUAGGACUACACUUCCCACCUUCAUCAAACUCUGAUAAUCUAACUCAUCUGGAGAGAACAUUAAUUUCAUAGAUUUUGGAAACCAGGCUAUUAUUCCUAAUAUAAUAUGAUGAGAAGCCAGUCAUGGUUUUUGUACUGAAUGAAUAAUUGUAAUGAAUUGGGAACUCUAAUAAAUUGAGUACAUUCCCAUAUCCCUUAAUUGUAUUUGGUUGGCCAUAUAGAGAUGAUGAGAAACAACUGAGUAACAUUAUCCCAGACACACCUGAUGGGAACUUUUCUCAUGAACUCACUUCUGCAUAAAUAUUGUUAGACUGGGGUAGAAAGUCAGUAAUAUAUAAAGUAAUUCUCUAAGGUGCUGUGAUAAAUCAUAAACAUGGAGAGACAGAAAUUUUGCUGUCCUACCAAGAAAUUAUUUCAGCACUCUCCAAAUAUUUUGGAUUGCAAUUCUUGAUACCCCCAGUCAAAUAUUGCUUUUAGCCAUGCAUUCUAAAUCAUGAUGGAUAUACAUAAAAAGAAUGACUGCCAUUAAGGCAACCUAACCCAUUAUAAUCAAGCUUCUAUCUUCUGCAAACUGAAAAAAAUAAAUAAAUCUUCUCGACCUAAGUCACAACCCCCUUCAAAACAAAUUAUAUAACAAGAUGAUUACUAAGUUUUAAGAUACAUAAGGGAUUAAGUAUAAGUGCUACCUGUUGCAAAAUUAGUAGCUGGCUUUGUGCAUGGUGCUCUUUAUUGGAAUCUGGCACAGGAGUUUUCAAUGACAUACCAAUAGAAAAGCAAAAACAUAUUUAAGCUUCCCCUAUAUUAAAAGAACUGUUAUUCAAACAUCUGUUUUCUUUCUAUUGUACUUAUUAGCAGCAUUGCUUUGAUACAAAUACAACCUAUUGGCAUCUUUAUCCCAUAAAUUUGUUUUAGAUGUUUCUAGAACACAUAAUUUUAUGUACUUGUAAUUAUAUUUUGUAACUCUCAUUAAACCGUUUGAAUAUGUUUUUCUGUCCCUAAACAGCAAACCCAAACAAUGCUAUUAUUAAAUGGAAAAAACUACAUACACGUUAAAUUGAUAUAGAAACAGUUGCUUUUACCUUGUUUUUUUUUUACAGUAGAAUUAUAUCUGUUUGAGAAAGGAAAUAGCCAAAGUGAAAGUAUAGAAACAUUGAGUUUCAAAUGUAAUGAAGUAUACGACCUGCUCUUUAGCAAAUCCCACUCUAUUUUUCUUGUUUAUUCCAUUCAAACUCUAUUUAGGAUUACAUAUUUACUCUGGUUGCUUUUGUAAGCAUCGCAUUCUUUUCUAUUUUUUGGACAACGGAUAAAAUCUUGGUUUCUCUUAACAUUUGGUCUAAUUAAUUCACAAUAGGGCUUAUUCAGUAAUAAAUAUGACAUUGGACAGAACCUUUUUGAUGUACAGUAUGAUCCAAGAUUCAGUUUUUAAGCUAAUAUGUAUCUUGUAUUUCCAUACUGUAUUUAAAAUUACGAUAUUAAUUCCCAAUUCAUGGCUAUAUUCUGAACGUGUUAUUUGGAAAAAUUUUUUUAAAACAGCAGAACUUGAUUGCAAAAAGUUCUGUAAAUUAAGUUUUAAUUUGAAAUAAAAAGCCAUCUAAUUUAAGAUUACAUUGCCCAUUGAAAACAUCCAAAAAGCUUCCAUUUCCUAUUUUUGGUCCCAGCAACUUAUAUACUUAUCUUUGCAAUAAUUGACCAAUUUUUCCUCCAGAAGUCAUCUAUUGCACCUAUUUUUUUUGAAAGCCAUGAAGCUAGUGAUUAUCACCCCAUUGUACAGCUGUAAAUUCCAUUGUUACUUUCUUACUACCCCAUAAAAGCUAAUAGGGGCACAAGAGCUAUUUACUAGCCCAUUAAAUGAUAACUAUCAGAUGGUCAUAUCUGUUACAUCAAAAGAGAGAGAUCAUUUUCCUAAAAUCUUUAUCUGUUCAACUCUUCUUCCUCUCCACAGCUGAGUGGCCAAAUUCCUUACAUAGGUAUCACUUUCAGAGUGUUAUGAGGGAUUGACUUUCAAAUAAGCAUACAUAAAAUAGCAGACUGAAUUGCUUAUUUCCACCAUUGAUUGACAGGGUCUGUAGCAAACACUAGAUAGUCUUUCCUGGAAAAUGGGGAAAACCUUGCAUUUCACUGUUAGGCCACGAUAUACUUACCAACAACAGAUUGUUCUCUGUGGAAGUACCAGAGGAUAAACAAAUGCAAAGAACUAAACAUGAAGGAUCCAUCCAAGCUCUAGGGACUGGAUAUUUAUUAUUGUUCAUUUCCACUCCUGAACUUACUUUUUAAAAAGCAAAAUAGUGUGUACUAAUUCUAAUUUAUCACACACCUUGCAGGAAUGAAGUCAGGCAGUAAGGCAAAAGGAUAUAAAUACUGCAAACAUUACAGCACCGAGGUGAGAAAAUACACAAUUCAUAUUUAUUCU